rnacentral:tRNA from 1 species
ACUUAAAUAGUUUAAAAUAUUAAAACGUUAGCUUGUGGCGCUUAAGAUGUAUAAGUUAUACUUUAAGUA